UACAGAGGUCUCAAGCGUUGUUCGGAUUCAUUGGGCGUAAAGGGUGCGUAGGCGGCGCGGUAAGUCGGGUGUGAAAUCUCGGAGCUUAACUCCGAAACUGCAUUCGAUACUGCCGUGCUCGAGGGUUGGAGGGGGGACUGGAAUUCUCGGUGUAGCAGUGAAAUGCGUAGAUAUCGAGAGGAACACCAGUGGCGAAGGCGAGUCCCUGGACAACUCCUGACACUGAGGCACGAAAGCUAGGGGAGCAAACAGG
rnacentral:rRNA from 1 species